UACGAAGGGGGCUAGCGUUGCUCGGAAUCACUGGGCGUAAAGCGCACGUAGGCGGAUCUUUAAGUCAGGGGUGAAAUCCUGGAGCUCAACUCCAGAACUGCCUUUGAUACUGGGGAUCUCGAGUCCGGGAGAGGUGAGUGGAACUGCGAGUGUAGAGGUGAAAUUCGUAGAUAUUCGCAAGAACACCGGUGGCGAAGGCGGCCUGCUGGCAGUGGCUGACGCUGAGGCGCGACAGCGUGGGGAGCAAACAGG
rnacentral:rRNA from 1 species